UGGCUGCUUUGUAAAAAUACAGCGUGAUUAAAAUGCCUUUUAUUUUUUCAAUUGCUUGUUUUGAGGCAAAACGAUUGCAGAAAUUACGUGAUCUAAGAAUAUCUAGACAUCUUAGAUGCAACACUUGUGUAUUUAACAUGUCUGACGAACUAUUUGUGAAGUCAUUUCGGAUCGACAAAAAAACUUUCAAAAUGAUUUUGGAUGUGUUGAGUUCAUUUCGUUGCAGAUGAACAAUCAUCAAUUGCAACAAUCAUAUGAAUAUUUCUAUCGGAACUUUAAACUGCCUCGAGGCACCAGCCUGUGUGGAUGGAACUCACAUCAGAAUACUAAAGCCUGUACAAAACCACUCCGUGUUCUAUAAUAGGAAAGGAUUUUAUAGCAUGAAUGCCAUGGUGGUGUGUAACUACAACAUGGAGAUAAUUGCUAUUGAUGCCACGCACCCUGGUUCCUGCCAUGACUCCUUCAUUUGGAAUCACUCCCCUGCUAGGGAAUAUUUAUCCACGACCAUUAAUGGGUUUGUUUUGGCUGAUUCGGGCUACGCUCUAGAGAAUUUUGUUCUGACUCCUUAUAGGAGCGCGGAGAUAGCCACCUAUCAACACAGAUUCCACAUAAAGCAUACUGGAGCACGAAAUAUUAUCGAACGCACCAUUGGAGUCGUUAAAAGCCGUUUCCGUUGCUUGCAAUGCAUUUUAAAUUACCCACCAAUAUUUUGUUGCCAAAUUAUAAAUGUAUGCUGUGCCCUGCACAAUAUUUGUAGAAGACGUAAUGACUUAAUCGAGGAGGAUAUUCGAUUUGACGACCCUCUAGACACUGAAAAUGAAUUCGACGACACUGAAAAUAAUGGAUCAUCUAUACGCGAAGGAAUAGCUCAGGCCAUUCCUUAUUAAAAUUCAAAAUUUUUCAUAUUUUUUCUUCUUUGUAUCAUUCGAUAUUCUUUAUACCUAAUAAAGCUAAGUUUCACA